rnacentral:rRNA from 1 species
UACGUAGGGGGCGAGCGUUAAUCGGAAUUACUGGGCGUAAAGCGUGCGCAGGCGGCUUUGCAAGACAGAUGUGAAAUCCCCGGGCUCAACCUGGGAACUGCAUUUGUGACUGCAAGGCUAGAGUACGGCAGAGGGGGAUGGCAUUCCGCGUGUAGCAGUGAAAUGCGUAGAUAUGCGGAGGAACACCAAUGGCGAAGGCAAUCCCCUGGGCCUGUACUGACGCUCAUGCACGAAAGCGUGGGGAGCAAACAGG